UUGACGUUAGCGACAGAAGAAGCACCGGCUAACUCCGUGCCAGCAGCCGCGGUAAUACGGAGGGUGCGAGCGUUAAUCGGAAUUACUGGGCGUAAAGCGCAUGCAGGUGGUUUGUUAAGUCAGAUGUGAAAGCCCGGGGCUCAACCUCGGAAUAGCAUUUGAAACUGGCAGACUAGAGUACUGUAGAGGGGGGUAGAAUUUCAGGUGUAGCGGUGAAAUGCGUAGAGAUCUGAAGGAAUACCGGUGGCGAAGGCGGCCCCCUGGACAGAUACUGACACUCAGAUGCGAAAGCGUGGGGAGCAAACAGGAUUAGAUACCCUGGUAGUCCACGCCGUAAACGAUGUCUACUUGGAGGUUGUGGCCUUGAGCCGUGGCUUUCGGAGCUAACGCGUUAAGUAGACCGCCUGGGGAGUACGGUCGCAAGAUUAAAACUCAAAUGAAUUGACGGGGGCCCGCACAAGCGGUGGAGCAUGUGGUUUAAUUCGAUGCAACGCGAAGAACCUUACCUACUCUUGACAUCCAGAGAACUUUCCAGAGAUGGAUUGGUGCCUUCGGGAACUCUGAGACAGGUGCUGCAUGGCUGUCGUCAGCUCGUGUUGUGAAAUGUUGGGUUAAGUCCCGCAACGAGCGCAACCCUUAUCCUUGUUUGCCAGCGAGUAAUGUCGGGAACUCCAGGGAGACUGCCGGUGAUAAACCGGAGGAAGGUGGGGACGACGUCAAGUCAUCAUGGCCCUUACGAGUAGGGCUACACACGUGCUACAAUGGCGCAUACAGAGGGCAGCAAGCUAGCGAUAGUGAGCGAAUCCCAAAAAGUGCGUCGUAGUCCGGAUUGGAGUCUGCAACUCGACUCCAUGAAGUCGGAAUCGCUAGUAAUCGUGGAUCAGAAUGCCACGGUGAAUACGUUCCCGGGCCUUGUACACACCGCCCGUCACACCAUGGGAGUGGGCUGCAAAAGAAGUAGGUAGUUUAACCUUCGGGAGGACGCUUACCACUUUGUGGUUCAUGACUGGGGUGAAGUCGUAACAAGGUAGCGCUAGGGGAACCUGGCGCUGGAUCACCUCCUUAAACGAUGAU
rnacentral:rRNA from 1 species